AGUGAACGCUGGCGGUAGGCCUAACACAUGCAAGUCGAACGGCAGCACAGUAAGAGCUUGCUCUUACGGGUGGCGAGUGGCGGACGGGUGAGGAAUACAUCGGAAUCUACUUUUUCGUGGGGGAUAACGUAGGGAAACUUACGCUAAUACCGCAUACGACCUACGGGUGAAAGCAGGGGUUCUUCGGACCUUGCGCGAUUGAAUGAGCCGAUGUCGGAUUAGCUAGUUGGCGGGGUAAAGGCCCACCAAGGCGACGAUCCGUAGCUGGUCUGAGAGGAUGAGCAGCCACACUGGAACUGAGACACGGUCCAGACUCCUACGGGAGGCAGCAGUGGGGAAUAUUGGACAAUGGGGGCAAGCCUGAUCCAGCCAUACCGCGUGGGUGAAGAAGGCCUUCGGGUUGUAAAGCCCUUUUGUUGGGAAAGAAAAGCAGCAGGUUAAUACCCCGCUGUUCUGACGGUACCCAAAGAAUAAGCACCGGCUAACUUCGUG
rnacentral:rRNA from 1 species